UCAUCUUCAAGCCAGCGUUCACUUUCAAAGUGGGCGCAACCUUCGUCUUCGACUCCUGACUUUGCAUCACCGACAACACUGGUCCUUCCAAUGCUGCAUCAUCGACAACCAGGAGAAGAAGCGCCUCGAUGUGAACUCUCUUCCACAAGAAGUAGAAAAUCUCGUCGAGAAAAUCAGCAAAUUAAACCACGGAUCAAGGUUCGACUGCAAACUCG
rnacentral:lncRNA from 1 species